CGAAGGAGGUUUCACUCACAUCAGUGAUUGCAGGUUCCCAACUGCGGUAAACAUCCGCUGGUCUACUUUUCUCUUCCAGGCCUCGCUCGCCUGCUGGCGGGAUGUUUCAAGAAAGUAAGUAGAUGAUUUCUAAGAUUGCUUCUAGCUUUGCUCUUUUGAAAAGUUGAUGUGCAUACUUAAGUUUUCUAGAAAGAAUCCCACUUGGGCUGCUGAAGCAUGCCGUCUUACUCUGGAAAGCAUAACUAUUACAAUUAGGCGAUAAUUGGUAUUACUUCUUCAGCUGCACCUCACUCAGGAACCAUAAAUUCUUUAUGUAGCUUUAAAGCUAUGAUUAAUAAUUGCACUACUGGGAUGAAGCUCACACUCAGUGGUAGAGUCUACAGACAUUGAACACAUUUAAUAUUCUGGAAAGAAAAGGUUGUUUCCUACAAAGCCAGUAAAUGUAUCCGAAAUCUUGGAUAAAAACAGAAUGAAGAAAAUAAGUCUUGGGGAAUGUUUUUCUAUAACAAUCAAAAGUUUAGAAUCCAUUUUUGGAGAAGUAAAGUAUCAUGGACCGCUAAAAGAGAGUUGCACGGCAGGGUGGGGGAUGGGAAAUCCAGCAUCACACAUGGAUGAUGCAAUGCUGUUGAGGCAGGAUAGACAACUAAGGCUGGUCAUAGUCCUAUCGGUCAGGUCACAACCAGGUCACAGCAUAGCACUUUCCCAGCAAGACCCAAGGACCUUGAACUCAAACAAGACUCACCCUUUAGCUUUUCUCCUACCAGGUUCCUGUGAUUGUUUUUGAUAUUUUUAGUUCCUGUGGGUGUGUGUGCAUGAGUGUGGAGGCCAGAGACCAACCUCAAGUGUUGUUCCGUAGGGGCCAUCUACUCUGCUUUUGGAGACAGCAUCUCGCACUGGGAUCAACAGCUCACUGAUUACGUUAGGCUGGCUAGCCAAUGAGCCUCCCAUCUUUGCCUCCCCAUCUCCGAAACUACAAGCUGGUGUCCUUGCCUGUCUUAUUAUGUGGACUCUGGGGAUGGAACUCAGGCUGUCACAUUUGCACGGUAAGCACUCUGGACUCUGGCACCCCUCCAGCUCCAUUUCUGAGUUCCUUUAGUGCUGUGGCUGCCUGCCAGUUCUCUGAGCCUGAUGUACUACAUGAUAGUCACCAAGCCCUAUUCAUUCUAUGCUUUAGAAACCCAUCUCUUCUGUCUCCAGUCAAUUACGUCAUUUAAACUGUUACCAUGACCUAAGUGAUCUUUCAGUCCCUUCCCUCCUAGCUAAGUCUUCUACUCCGUUUGGUUCUAACACAGAUGAAACCCUGCUGCUUAGGCACAGAAUCUGCUCCUGAGGUGGCUGACCAGAUCUGCAAUUUUAGGCUGAUCUUCUUCUGUUGCUCUCAAGACCACUUGGGAUUCUUCGAACACCUCAGCCUCAUGAUACACAUGCUCCACCCUUUCCAGACAUUUACUUCUCCCUUUUUCUGCUUUCCCCUAGUUAUGAACUCAUCCCCCGCAGCUCCCACAGCCUGUGUUAGAGCAGCUAGCACACUGCUCUGCUUCUAACAAAUCCUUAGGGGUUGAAUGUUCCUGGGUACAAACCUCAGUUCCUCCUUUGUAAAAACCUAGUAACUUGCUUCCCCGUGCUCUGGUCCCUUCAUACAUAGAUACUUCCUAAUUUAUAGGUCUCCCAUCAUUAUUAAAGUUGAUGCAUAUAAAGUAUUUAGGAGGGAGCCUGGCAUAUAACAGAUGCCAAAGAACAAGUAAAAGAAGGGCCACGGAGAGAGAGAGUCUUAAAUAACCUAGACAGUCAAAGCUAGGGAACUCUGCCAAGAAUUUGGAUUAACAGUUAUAUCUUUGUUAAUCAGGAAGUCAAUUCUGUGCCAAGAUCUCCUUCCCCUGAACUCAGAUUCAGGUACAUGUAUGUAUACUUAUGAAUUUUUCAGUGUGUAAAUGGUGAAUAAGCACAUGUCCAGAUUAUCUAGGUGUUUUAUGUAAUAGAUACAUAAAAGGAAAACAGAUGCAUAUAGAAAGGUCUGGAAGGACUAGCAUGGCAGCCUGUAGAAUAUGAGUGCAAGUGUUUUCAUUUUGUGUGAGUGGAAUUUUAUGUUGAGGGAAUGCAGAGAUGGCUCAGUGAUUCGAAGCGCUUGCUGCCCCUGCAGAGGACCUGGCUUCAGUUCUUAGCACAGGACCUGGGUUCAGUUCUCAGCACCCACAUCACAUGGCUUACAAGCAUUUGUAACUCGUGUUCAGGGGAGUGGAGUGUAUGCUUUCCUCUGGUCUUCAUGAGUACCUGAACAUACUGGACACAUACAGACAAGGUAGGUAGGCAGGCAUAUCCAUCAAUAAAAAUUUAAAAAGAAAAUAUAUUUAUCGUGUAUUGCUUUUACCCAUAAGGAAAAUAACAUCAAUCAUUUAAAAAUUUUCCCCUUGGCCCCUGCAGUUGCGACAUGCAGGAGGCUAGUAGGAAAACAUGUUUUAAUCCAGGGGCCAAGGUCAAUAUUGUUCUAAAGCAGUCUGAAAAGGAAGGGCUUUGGAGGUAGAGGAAGGAGAAGGCACAGGUCCAAGUUACCUAGUGAAUUUAUAGGAAAAGGGAAUUCAGGGGAUAACUUUCAGGGCCCAGGUACCCCAUUUCCGAAUGAUGAAAUGUACUUUCGUUCCCUUUGCUGAAAGUGCCCAGCAUGGAAAGAUAGAUUCAAUUCUAGGCCUUGACUUCAUUCUCCUACCCACUUUGGGGAAAUCACAGGAACUCUCCAUUUGCUUCCUCAUCUCAUACAUGGUAAUAAGAAUAAUGGCUUCCCACAGGACUCUGCUGCCUGGGGUCAUUAGAAUGAGCUUUAAGUAUCCAGCCUGAGGCAAAGGCUUGUUCCGAUGACUCUACCAUGCCACAUACUGAGAGGCAUGUGCUUUGCCUCACAAACCCAACUUCUCUGUAAUAGUGACAACUGGAUUGCACAAGGCUGAAAGGUCGACUUUCUCCCCAUGUGCCUUUUCCAGAACCCACAGAGGAGAAAGACUCUUCAGGUCAGUUCUGCUGAGGCUGACAACUGACUGACCCCUCAGCCCAGGCCUGAGGGCUGUGUGUGGUAGGAGGCUGGAGAAGUCUGUGGAGUGUUCUGUUCUUUGCAUCUCGAGACAGACUUAGAUUCAUGAAGCAGAUAUCUCCGUUCGUGUGAGAGGCUGGAACAUAUGCUUGCUUGCUUGCUUGCUUGCCUGAGGGGCUGUGAAUCAAAGGAUGCGUACGGCAGCAUUUGCUUCUCCUUGCCAUCUGGUUUCGGCUUCUCCCGCACCAGGCUGUACAAGCCCUGACACCUGUUAUCGAUCCUCCAGCUGAUCAAAAGAGUUGAGCUACCUGUGCUUGAAAUGUCAAAAGUGAUACAGAGAGCUGGGAUUUUACAGUCUCUUGAGGUAAGAGCAGGCUCUCAGGGACUCAUGAAGAAGCUGUGUGACUCAGACUGUAGAGUGAGUGGCACUCCCUAGCUUCUCCAUUCGCUCCCCUCAUUUCAAUGUACAUGCCAACCAACACUCCAUUUUUAAGACUCAGAGUUGGAAGAGACUACAGAGCUUCCCUUACCCAACCAGGCUCACUUGACAGACGAUGAAAAGUAUAUCCUAAGAGAUGGCACAUCAUGCCAAAUACCAUAUGGUGAAUCAACUCCAACAGAAGAAAAGAAUAACAAAAGCUCACAGAAGAAGUUGGGUCCAUGCCCGUAUCAUGCCCAGGCAUCUGGCCAAAGCAAUUAAUCCUGUGAAAAAUAAUUCUAAAAAACCCAUAGCUUUAUGUGGAAAUUAAAAAAAAAAUACUAAUGUUUGAUCCCCUCCUCUGUGCAUGAAAUUCUGUUCUCUUGCUUGGGGAUUGGCAUUCCUCGAGUACCAUAGACCGCUGUAGUCUGCAGCUGGGAGUGAGAGCCUCAUAGAGUAUAUCGGGAAAACCAGUGGAGCCCAAAGACACAAGAAUGAGUCUGGGCCUUUUCCAGAUCAUCAGUGUGGCCCUGGGCAAGUUGCUUAACUGCUUCUAUCUCAUGUACCCAUUAAUCCUUAGGUCACACAAAACCGAAGUCGAGAUGAAGCAAUGUUCAUGAAAGUGUCUUGCAAACUCUGAAGUGCUGUUGCCCUGGGAGUCCAGACCCUUUAGGGACAGGCGGCGGAACACUUUCCUAGAACUUCUUUUUGAUAUUCAGUCAUUGAAUCCGACUCUGUCAAGUUACUGAGUUUUUACUAGAAAAGGAAUAUUAUGUUAGGUGCUGGUCACAUGACCUUCUACAAAGGUGAAGAUUGAUUACAUCCCUUGGAAGGGGAAGUGGACAUUUGAAUAAGUAGUUAUGAUGAUAAGAAAUAUGGCCACAGAUGAGAACAAAGGAAGAGGUGCCAUGGCUGUGGGACCGAGAUCAGAAAGGAGACAAGAGUCUGCCCAGUCAGUUUUGGGUGGUAAAUACCUGGGAGGGCUGUCCCAAGCUGAGCGUUACACAGGUACCAGGGUGUGCUUGGGGCUGGCUGAGGCCCAGGUAGGGCAGGUUAUCGUUCCAUGUACGAAGGAAGAAAAGCCAUUGUUUCAGAAGAAAGGAAAAACGAACAUUUCUGGCAGGUUUAAAAACCAAACAACUUUACAAAGAUCAGAAUGAUGGAAUUAGCUUUUAGAGACUUAGUUGGCUCUUCCUCCCAGCCACAGGUAAAUGGAAUUUCAAAGUUACGCAGACUGAAGCCCGUUAUUGGCCCCGGACUGAGCAAAGUUAUCAGGUGACCGAAGAAAAGAAACAAUUAGAAACAAUUAGAAACUUUCCUGAUUUAAAGGAAAAUGAAUGGGAAAUAAGUGUGCAGGGACUUAACACAUCUAUAGAGUGUGUUUUUUUUUUUUUUUCUCGCUCCUUUUAAGUGUUUCUAGCAGCCUUGACACUUAUAAGACUUAAAAAUAAUUAGGAAUAGUUGGGGUUUCAGACUCUGGAAAAGCUUAUAAGAAAUGCCUAGUGAGGAGCAUCAAGUAACACAGCAGACAGGAAAGGUUGAAGAGCUUCAAGCCCAUUAGAAUUUAAAGUGGUAGGUCUCCGAAUCCCAAAUGCUCCUUUAAAAAAAUGUGGUGUCUCUUUAAGAGCCAUUUGGUGCAUUUCAUAGCCUGAUUCAUGUCACCAGCUGCCUCUGAUUUCAGUGAGAAAUGCAGAAUUUAUAGGGAACUGUAAAAUGGGGACAGGUUUCUAGUUUUCUAAAUUGAGGUUUAACUGGCAAACUUCUGAAGACUCAAGAAACCACAAGCGAGGCUGUGAGGAACUGUUUUCUUUUCCGGUCAGGAAAAAAAAUAUAAACACACAAACACAUUAUCUAACUCUCAAAGUCUUGGGAGAAAGAAGUCACUGCUCUUUGCGGAGUAGCAAAAAGGAAGAAUCAGUCUUGUGGGCAGGAGGAGGAGGAGGAGGAUCACAUUGGCCAGUAGGCAGCACCCUGUGCUGGCAGAAAGAGAAAUCUGAGCCUCAGCCGCGCCAGGAACAGGCUUUGCACAAACUAUCUGGUUUCAAGUUGCGAGUCUCCGGAGUCCCUGAAAAGGUGCCCCGGGAACAGGACUCCCUUUGCAGGGCCCCGAGGAUUGAUGAGAAUCCCCCAUCCCCAACCACCCAGAGGAUAAGCAGGUGUGGAAAUGAUGGCUUAGCAAGAUUAUAUGACUGGCCCAGGCAUCCAGAUAACCACCAGCACUCCCCGAGGCCAUUGCCACUUCAAGCCAGCUGUUAGAAUGUGUGCUAACCCUGUCCCCACUCAUUCCUUCCAGCACCUUGUUCCGAUCUGGUAGAUGCCUUCCUUAGGAGUCAGCCAAGGCUCGGCUGGAGUUGCUGGAAUGCAUACAGCCACUGAGGUGCAAUGGAGGCUCUGGUGACUUCUGCAGCUGCCCCCUGGCCUGCACUAUGUUUUUGAGGUGCCAUUGGAAGCCGGAAGAGACCCUCAGAUCUACUGGGGCUGGAGCUACAGGUAGCCAUGGAUUGCCCCACGUGGAUUCUGGGACUGAAUUCCAGUUCUCUACGAAAGCAGUAAGUGCUCUCGAUUGUCAAUUAUGUUCCGGCCUGGCACCUUCUGGCAAACUGUCUGAAGGAUGUACCUAUAACUACCUCAUUUCUGGAUCCCACGAGGAGACGUUUGUAAUGCUUCACACAUUCUGUAGUUCUUCGCAGUUCUUCACAGCCUGUAUACUGUCAUCUCACUAAAAGAAUGUCUGCAUGAAUACUGUUGGGGGAAAAUAACGACUUGAACACUUUAGAAAGCCCUUCUUGGACCCAGGUAAAGAUCACUAUUGAAAUGUCCUUAACAGGGUUUCACGAUCCUCACUUUUAUUGGCUCUGGAUAUUUAAACAGUUGUUAGUAUCAUUGUGCUCUAUGCUCUCUGGCCCACAUCAGUACUUGAAAUGCACUCUGAAACUCUUUAGGAAUGUGAGGAACAUCCUUAAGCAUUCUCCACAAACCCAACAUCUCUUCAGAAUAUAUACUGAAGACCUCAAGAACUUUCUGUGGCAUGUGUCUUCCUGUUGGCCUCCACUCCAGGUCUUAGCGGUGGGUGGCAUUCAUGAUAAAAUGUCUCCAUGAAUGAACCAUGUCUUUGCUGUUGCUGUGAUUAAAAUCUUCACUGUGAAGUCUGGACCCUUUUGAGGGUCUGAACUGGCUUCUCUCUAGACUCUCACAUUCUAAUACGGUGUCUCUCAACCUUCCGAAUGCUGUGACACGUUAAUACGGUCUACCAUAUUCCAGUGAUUUCCCCCAAACCACAACAUCACUUUCAUUGCUACUUCAUAACUCUAAUUUUGUCACUGUUAGGAAUUAUAAUGUGAUAUCUGUGUUUCCUGAUGGUCUCAGAUGACCCCUGUUACAGGACCAUGUGACCCCAAAGGGGGUUGCAAUCUUUAGGUUGCUUUAGAAAGACCCACUUGGACACAGGUAAAGAUAAUUUCUGAAAUGUCCUUAGCAGAUUUAAAUGAUUCUCACCGCUCUAAUCCACCUACUAUUCCCACUGGCAAUCCUUUUUAAAUAUAUAUCGGGAAGUAGUUAUUGAUAAGAAUUGGAGACGUGGGCCUGAGGCCCAACAUAUCUGGUUGGGAAUCUAGAGUCUAGCAUUUCUUAGAUGCUUGGCCUUAAGGAAGAGUCCUCCCCUCACUGAACCUCAGUUCUUACCUCAUGUCACUGAGCCAGCUGAGGAAACUGUCAUCGAACCCAGGUCCUGGCUUAUCCCUUAAAUAUUGUUAUUAUACUACUUGUUAUCUCUGUCACAAUGAAAUGUACGUGGCUUUUCACAAGUUACAUUUUAUCUUUAAAUUACGCUGUUUUCCACAUAUGUGGAUUAUGAUAGAAUUCAGCGCUAAUACUUGAUAAUAAUUGUAGGACAUGAUAAUAAUUCAAGGGGCGAACUGUAACUUAGACUUGGACCUCAUCAUAAAAACCUAUACAAGUUUUCUUUAUUCUGACGCUCCAGAAAUGCCCCCAACCUUUGACAGCUGACUCCCAGGUGCCUUUUGGUCCUCCUGUCUCUUCUGCCAAAAGCCCUGAGACUAAGUAGAUGAAGUCCUCUUUAGAACUGUGACAAGAGACUCAGGACCUCAGCCCCUUCUGGUUUAGUGGGUGUUUUUGACUUAUGAAACGGUGUGUGCUUCAGAUCACUAGACGGUCUGCAGGGGCCCUCCCAACUGAUACAAUCCUUGUCAGGGCAUGCUUAUGUGAGGCAAGAGAUGCCACCGAGGGAACAGGGAAAGGCUGACGGCAUCUCUUUUCUCAGAUGCCCUGUGGACAUCACUUGUUGUGGGGCAGAGACCGGGGCCUGAAGGGUGGCCACAGUCCUUGUCCUUCACAAUAAUCAGAGCAUUUUAUGUAGCUUGCCUAGGUUCGUUUCUUAAAUCUGCACUAAGGGAGUUCUGUUACUCCCCAGCCUACCGUUUGGCACCACGUACAGGUGGCCGAUGCUUGUUGGUGUCAUAGAAGUGUUACAGGAUUCCACACAGAACUGUAAUCAGAGCAUUUUAUACCAAACACCAAUUGAAAAACCAAUUACACCAAAAUAACUUCUUUACACCAACUUAGAGUUUGGAACAGAUAUUAUUUAUAAAGUAGGGUUUGUUCCUGAGUAUGUUUUGGUCUUCAGUUAAAUUCUUUUUAAACUCAGGCUCCAUGGUACAAUGGCUCCGGAAUUGGUAAUAAUAAAACAUUAGUUACACUGGUGGGUAAUGGCUUUAUUUAAAAUAAGAUGAAAUGUUAACUCAGUGUCUCCCAGGACUCUGUAAAUGUCUUUAAGCAGCUAUCCAGAGGCCUCAGCAGUCCUAGUACUCAUUAGAUGGGUAGCUGAGACACAUUGACCAAUUUACGUUUUGUGUCGGAGUUUCCCCUUGUUCUUAUGUUUGAGCCUCACAAUUCCUCUGGGGAUCUUUCCUAUAGCUCCUUUUACUGGCAGAGGAACUGAGAAUCAAAGACAUUUGUUUGCUUUAAAUCCAAGCCUUCAUAGGAAAUAACAAAGCCCAGGAAGCUAUGAAGCAACCCAGGGUUCAGGGCAAGGGUCUGCUGCCAGACAUUAUACCGUGUGGGCUCCAUCACUACAUUGAGUCAGCACACAUGAAUGGGAGUCAGGCUUACUUCAUGGAGAUAGGCUAUGCAAAGUGUUUAGCGUGGGAUUAGGCACUGACACGUAAUGAACUUAGGCAUUCUCCAUCUUCCACUCCACUUUCCACUGGAGCACUUGGGUGUUGACAAACACAGCCACAGGCAGCUUACAAUUUACGCAUUUCUCCAAACCACCCAGGAACACGCUCCUCCUAACCCAGCCUGAAACUGGCUACAUUGUCACUUCCCUCCCAUCUUGUGUGCCCUGGGUGUUGGGAAGUUUUCUCCACUCUCCCUUCCCAUUCCUCUGGCCUGGGAGUCAAUGUUUCAACCCUUUGCCUUGCCCCAGAUCUGGAACCUCUGGGAGUGGCAGGUGGCUGGGUAGGUGGGUGGGCUGUUACAUUGUGUCGGAAAGGAAGAGAAGCGAAAAAUGCUUGCAGUGAGAAGCUACUCAUCCUCCCUGAGGCGUCUUUCCUUCACUUAGAGCCUUUGCUUCUGCCACCCUGGUCAAGCCCCCCUGGAGUAGCCUUUGUCCCGGAUCUGGAUAAGUACUUGUCCUGUGGGCGAGGCAGACUCCACCAUCAGAGAAGCUGGCAGGAACACAAAUUCACGUGUCUUCCACACUAGCCUACAGAAUAAGAGUGCGGAAGCACUUUGUGCUCUUAGGAGUUCUGAGGGCAAUUCUGAUGUGUGUUCAGAUUUGAAAAUCACGCUUUUAAAGAAAGAGUGUGAAAGAAAGCAGAGAGCCUGAACAUUCCACUUUGAAUCCUGCUGAGCACUGGGCUAACCCUUUCUGGAUUUUUCCCAAAGGCUAUAUGCUGGCCCUAGAGACCUGAGCCUGGAGCUGGGGGUACUCACCUUGCUAACUUUUGCUUUGUGGGACAGCAGGUGGUUAAAGAGGCAUCUGGUCUGCUAUUUGCCAAGGGCCGACCAUUCUACACCCACAGUUUCAUUUAAUUUUUAUUUUAACAUUCUUGAAAGAGAAUGUAUCUGUAUAGUUGGAGAUGUCUGGAGUUGUGCUUUGAGAAGAUUAGAGAGAAGGUGGAGGAAGUGGCGCUUCAGAGGACACAGACUCUCCAUUAAGUAGGGGAGAGCUCACUUACUGACUCAUGCUGCAGGGCAAACUAAGGGCUAGAAAGGAGAAAGGGCUUGCCCAAGACCAUGCAGAAAGUCGAUGUCUACCAAUAACUUGCUCUGCCUAUGCCUUAUCAAUAAACAAAUGAUUGCAUUUUAAAACUGUUUUGAAUUUUGUACAUUAAGGUAAAUUUGAGUUUAUAGAAAAGUGGCAACAAUAGCGUCCUCUGACUCUCCUUCUUGCCUUUUCUACCUUACCAUCAUUAAGACCACAGGGGAUUAAGACCUUCAAUCCUGCAUUCUGAGUAAUUGUGGAUUUAUGCUCAGUUAUAAGAAAUAUUACAGAUACUCCUGUGUAGUCUUAGGGAUGUUUUGCCUGACAGGAACAUCUCGUGCAGAACUUAUAUGGUUGUUUAAGCAUUUUCUUUCCCUCUCUCUCUGAUUUUAUAUUCAGGCUCAACCUUAGACCGAUGCUCUCCGCACUCCCCUGAAGAGACACCUGAACUUUUCUGCAAGAAUUUUCUAAGCCCCCAUGGGUGCUGCUAUCCAUUGCACAUGUAGGAGGUGGGAAGCUCAUCCACACAGGGUUGUAGGAACUGACCCUUCUGAGAUUGUCCUUGGAGAGAUCUAGAGCCAAUCUCUAUGUGCUGGAAACACAUCCUGUCUAUACUGCUGAGCCGAGCACAGAAUACUCUUUGUGCUCCCUUGUUUGAUGCUGGAUUCCUCCUUCCAGUAGGUGUUCACUUUAGCAACUAAGGGCAUGGCUGAACGAAUGAACUCCAGGUAGGUGUGUGUCACAGAGCAAUCUUCAUUCAACAGCAGCUUUGUUGCUAGGACACAAGGAUAGCCAGUCUGGCCAGUCAGACACAAAGCCAAGAAGUGUGUGCCUUGCUGAGGGAAAGAGACCCUAAAAGCUGACAUGGGUGGGUACACCAGAGUAAGUCUCUGGAACUGGGGCAAUGGUAACUCUUAAGUUCUGUGAGUCCUGGGGCCCUGUGGCAACCUGUCUUCGCAGCUCUGACUUACUGUGUUCCUGAGUGAGCUGAGAGAAAUUCAAUUCAUGCGUUCCUGGGCAAUUUAUAUGAUUUUCAGCAAAAUGCCACAGUCAUGUAUUAGCCACUGGAUGUCAACGGUAAUGCUUUCUUUGUUCCUUUUGGAACUCAGUCCCCGAUGGGAAGCCAGCUGGUCCAUUACCGGACAAUGAGCAAGAGCAGGGGGCACAGUGUCCGAGGGUGGUGUCUGCCAGAGCACUGCAGUGUCCAGUGAGAAGUGGGAGAGGUCAUGAGCUGCCAGCUCUGCCAAGCAGGCUGGCAGGACCUGGGAGAGGUGCAAACAGCUUGGGGAUUCGAAGGAGCUGUGAGGCUUCUGGUGCAGAGGAGAACAGGGAUCACGAGGUAAACACUAGGCUUGCUUCUUGUUCAGCUUUGGUAAGUUAACUUUCUCCCCUAGGCCUUGUCUACCUCUUCUGCAGAAUGCCUUACUGGAACCCAUGAUCUCUGUGGACCCAGAUAGACUAUUAACUUAUUUUAACGAGACUUCGGUGUCUCACUAUGAAUAUUAUUUGGUGCUGCCUAAAUAAAUGUUUUUCCAAGAAAUA
rnacentral:sRNA from 1 species